rnacentral:lncRNA from 1 species
UUUUUGCCAUUUCUUGGGCCGCUCGCUCGGCAUAUGGAGGUUCCCAGGCUAGGGAUCCAAUCGGAGCUGCAGCCGCUGGCCUAUGCCAGAAGCUCAGCAACGCAGGAUCUGAGCCGCGUCUGCAAACCUACACCACAGCUCACCGCAACGCCUGAUCGUCAACCCACUGAGCAAGGGCAGGGAUUGAACCCGCAACCUCUUGGUUCGUUAACCACUGCGCCACGACGGGAACUCCCCCAGCUUUCUUUACCCUUGAAAUAUACUCAGAUUCCCAAGCCAAGAACAGCAUUUUCUUUGAGUCUGAGUUAAACCAGAACUAAAACAGGAAAGUUCAAAUGGCCCCUGGCUCCUGGUUUACUAGCCGGUCCAAAUAGGCAGUCUCGUUCUUCCUCCAGCUGCUGUCAAGCACAAGUGAGAAGUGAGAAAGUCGGCUGAACUCCAGGGGCAGACUGUGUAGUCUCUUGUGGGUCACAGUGAGGACUCUGGCCUUUAACUGAAAAGAGGCAUUUUUACCUUUUUGUUAACUGAUGUGUCCUCAACAUCUAGAACAAUGCCUGGUACUUAGUAGACACUCAAUAAACAGUCAUAAAAAAAAAUACCAUGUAGCCAAAAAAACUUCCUGCCACAGGAAGGUAUUGAUGAUAGGGGUUUGUUCUUUUUUUGUUUUGGGUUUUGUUUUUUGGUUUUUUUUUUUUUGUCUGCGCCCGCGACAUAUGGAGGGAGCAGGCCUAGAAAAGGCAAAGAGACAAAAAAAAAAAAAAAAAGAGAGAGAGAGAGAGAGAGAAAGGAGUGAAAUAAAUGAAUAAAUUGGAUGCAAGAGUAGGAAGGAAGAAAGAUUAAUUCAGGCUGUGAAGUCCAGACUACGUCCCCUCCUCUGCAUCCUCCAGCUCUUUCUGAACACACACACACACACACACACACACCCUGGAAGCCUUUCUUCCCUUUUCUGGCCUUGCCCUUGCCGCAUUCCAGACUCUUUCUGCUCUGGGAGCUCCCUUACCUCCUGCCUGAGGCCACUGCCCAGCAGCUCCCUGGCCACAGUGGAGGCUGCAUUCAAGUCUGCAAACAAAGACAAUUAGCAAGGGCCUGCCGCCUGGCUCCUCUAAUUGUCCACGCUCCUGAAAAGAAAGAAAUGAUGGUUCUUUCUGAGCAAAAUAAAAACAUCUCAGCAUUAGCCCCACAAGCAUACAGAGAAGGUCUCCCCUAGGAAUAUGCAGAAAUUUCCAGGGAUGGCAAUCACAUGACAAGAAGGCCAGUGGCCCAGGAGAGGUGAGGACCGCUGACCAGGAUGGCAGCUUGACUGGCUCUCUGAGGACUGACUGUUAACUGCAUAAUGUGAAUGCAGGCCUCAGAAAAACAACUGGGUUCAAAUCCAUCCCUACCAUUCACUGACUGGGUGGCCUUGAGGAAAAUCACACAGCCUCUCUGAGCCUUGACUAUAAAUGGGAGCAGUGACAGCACCAGCCUCAAAGGGCUAUUGUGGGAGCUAAUGGAGAAAACACCCAAUAAGACCUGCUGAUAACUGUCACUUAGGAGUAUACUUUCCCCUCUGCCUAGGCACCCUUCUCUCAUCCCUUACUACAUCUAAUUUUUUUUUUUUUUUUUUUUUUUUGCUUUUUAGGGCCGCACUGCAGCAUAUGGAAGCUCCCAGGUUGAAUCGGAGCCGCAACUCCUGGGAACUUCCAUAUGUGGCCCUAAAGAAGCAAAAAAAAAAAAAAUUAAUAUUUAUUGAGCGCUUAUUCUGUGAUGAACAUGUACCAAGCACAUUACAUCUAUUCUCUCCAAUUUCUCAUAACUCAUUUCAUAAAUGCAAAAUACGAGGCUCAGAUGGUAAGUAAUUUGCUCAAGGUGAAACAGCAUGAAUUUGACUUGUAGAACCUGGGCUGUUAACCAUGACCCAGGCUCUACCUUCCUGCAGCUAAGGCUAUAGGCUUGGAAUAAUUCAGAGUUUUACUUCAGCUCAAACCCUGUCUCCACCACUUAGCGCUGUGUGACUUGAGCAAGUAACUAAACCUCUCUGAGCCCCAGUUUCUUCCUCAAUAACUGGGGACAGUGACAGGACCUAAGUCACAGGGCUGUCUUAAAGAUUAAAUGUCAGGUCAAGAUGCGAGCCUUGCAUGGAGUGGCCACGUCUCUGCGGCUGAGAUCACCUCUUCUCUUCCUCCCAGCACAGGAUUUCCAUGACUGGGUGGUGGCUGGGUGAACAUCAGUGAAAUAUCACAUCUUUCCCUGGAGAAGCACUACAGAGGCUUUCUAGGUACAGACGACAAAUUGAAUACAGAAAUUUUUCAUCUGAAACCAACUAUUUUUUAAAACAACUGUUUACAACUUUGUUUACUCCCAGCAAGGGUUAGACCAGGUAUGAACCCCUCCCUGAUUCAGGUAAUGGACUACAAGAGAGGAAGAAUCGCCCUCCAGGGGGCUUUGGACUCCACAGCUAAGUGGAAAACUUAAAAAACCUGCAAAUAGGAGGGAAAAGGGGGUGGGAGGGGGAGAAGAAGCGGGUUCCAAGGAGGCUAUGUAAAAACAAUGAAAUUGUAAUAUUUUCCACGACAGAUUUCAUCAGUGCCGCCUGAGUGCAUUCUAUUAAACCUCAUUUAUUAAAUUUUGAGGAACAUAAUUUAGAUAUAAGAUCCCGGACAAACAGUUUGCAAAAUAGCUGAAUCCGGACGCAUCAAUGGCCCCCCAUGCGUGGCAAACAGGCUGGCAUUUUUCUUCUUGAGAGCCUCAAAGGGCUUGUGUGGGGGAAGGAGACAGUGAGACAGGGCUGGGGGGGCUUCACGCUCUUGUCUGCCGUCUCCCUCCCCCUUCCACAGCCAUUAGAAGUGUUACGCCUCCUGCCCUGUAGCAUAAAUAGCUCUGAAGUUGAACAGGCAUGCUUAGUUUUGUGGGCCCCAGAGGAAAUUGGUGUCAGAAAAAAAAAAAAAAAGGCAACAUACCCACACAGCACAGUUUCUUUGUUUAUCUAAGGGUCUCCUGUAAGCCUCCCAGAACUCCCCUGACCCACCCGGAGAAUCACUUUUACUAUAUUUACAAAGCAGGACUUGACCAGGGUCUUUCCAGUGGAUGACACAGGUGAGGUUUUUAUUCUGGGAUUUCCAGGUCACUGGGAAGUCUCCCUUCCCCCACCAAACUCCCAGCCCCAAACACGUCCUCAGUUCCACUUUCUGAUGCCUACAAUGGCCCUUUGUGGAAACUGAAGGAACUGAGGUGUGCCAGAGACUCUGUCCACAUUAUUUCAUGUAUUCCUUUCCUCGGUCCACUCAGGGCAUGUUGAUCCCACUUCACAGAUG